rnacentral:lncRNA from 1 species
UUCUGCUUCACGAUGGUGCGGCCAAUGUCUUGGAUCCUUCCAGCUCAAGGUAAGAGACACUGUUCUGAACAUAUCGGAGAGGGAGGGCGAGAAAGACCAUCCCUUUGGGGUUCAGGUCUAGGCUUUCCAUCCUCUUCCUUCCUUCUCCAGGCCUUCUCCUCUUGUUCUGCCUUGCGCUGCAGUCGGACUCCUGGAACCCCAAUGCGUCUGCGGGUGAGGAAAGGAACGAGGUGCACGAGGGCAAGGGAAGGCCUCUUCCUUCUGCCCCCAACUCAACGCCUUCUCUUUCAGAGCCCUUCACCAACAUCACCCCACUUCUCUCCAGCAGCUCUGGGUUGUCAGCAGAGCUUGUGAUGCCUCUGACCUGCCAGGCUUUCCAGUGUUUUGGGGAGAGAUGCUACCAGGAGGCGGCAGUGGUGGUCCAUGGAAACAGCUCAUGGGAGUCCUGCCACAAUGCCUCCCACUGCGAGUUGAUCCGUGUGAACAGCACCAGUUACGCAGCCGGGUGCAGCAGCGAGUGUGGGAACGGCAGCGCCGCAGUGAUGUGUGGGGCCAACAGCCGUGUGAGCCUGGAGCCCUGCACUAUGGAGUGUUGUGGUGCCCCAAACUGUCUACGCCUCAAUGCCACGGCAUACGGUACUAUAGUCGCCCAAUGGGCUCUCCCAUUCCAUGCACCUGUGGCUCCUUGCACCCAUCUCCUGAUGCCCCCAAGGGCACCCACAUCUCUCCAAGACUUCGACCAGCCUCUUUCUCUCUCUCUUCCAGGUGACCCAUCGCCCAUCACCACUACUACAGUUCUCACAACCACCACCACUACCGCUACCACCACCACCACUACAGCAGCCCCCCAAAAUGUAGGUGUUUCUUCCCUGGUUCUACAAUGGCCUCAAUGGCUACCACAGUGGGAACACUGGCAUCACUGGCAUUGCCACCAAUGGCUCCUGUAUCCCUUCCUUUGCCUUCCUAGGGCAAAGUGUGCGGCCACUUCACCUGCCAUGGAGAAGGGUGCUACCUAAGCCAGAGAUCCUCCACGAGCUGCCACGCCGGCUAUGAUUUCUGUGAGAUGAAGAAAUCCGGGUCCACCUUUGUGGCCGGCUGCAGCAGAGUUUGCCCAGGGACGGGCACAGCCUGUGCGAUGGGAUCCAAGGGCCCUUGCUACCAAGAGUGCUGCUCAGCCAAACCCAGGGCCAGCUGCCUGCGACUGGAUGGCAAGGUCCACCUCAAUGGGGCAGGGGUUUUGGGGGCAGCAGCCCUGCCACCACUCCUGGCCCUCCUCAGCCUGACCUUUGCCUUCCCUCCCUUCCUCCUUGGGAACAACUGAGACAGUACUAGUCAAGCACUGGGAAAAUGUCCACAAAGCAACCACACCCCCACCCCAGUCAAUGAGUAUUGGGCCAGCCUUCAGUUGCUUCCACUUGCUCCAGUAUAACUCAUUGAAAUGUUUGGGGGUAGGUUUGAUUUUAAGUUGCAACUGAAUGUACUGAGCAAUAGAUAUAAUACACAUUAAAAUGCUAAAAUAUUAGUCACUUAUGAACUCCUCUAUAAGUCCUUUAUUAAACUAUGGAAUCUGUUAGCAAUCUGAUAUGUUUGAAAGGAGUGGUAGCUUCUUUUGCUGUAAAUAGAAAUACAUCCACAUACCAAUUAUUGUGCUUAUUGUAUAUAUCAGGGUCCCCAAACUAAGGCCCUCCAAGGUCAUUUACCUGGCCCCUGGCCUAAACUUUAUACUUAGGGUUGACCUAAGUCUACCUGGUCUUUGGAGGUCUCUUUGCUUACCUAUGGCCUUAUGAGAUCGUCUAGAUGGUCUUUGAAGAUCUCUUUGCUUAGCUACGGCCUUAUGAGACCAUCUAGAAGGCUUUUGGAGGUCACUUUCCUUACCUAUGGUCAUAUGAGACCGUCUAGAUGGCCUUUGAGGGUCCCUUAACUUACCUAUGGUUUUAUGAGAUUGUCUAGAUGGCCUUUGGGGGACCCCUUUCCUUACUUAUGGUCUUAUGAAAACAUCUGGAUGAUCUUUGAGGGUCCCUUUUCUUAUCUAUGGUCUUCUGAUGGCCUGAUGAGAUCAUCUAGAUGGCUUUUGAGGGUCCCUUUCCUUACCGAUGAUCUAAUGAGACCAUCUAGAUGAUCUUUGGAGUUCUCUUUGCUUACCUAUGGUCUUAUGAGAUCAUCCAUAUCAUACCUCCAUGCAUGGACCAAUUUGGGCUCAUGAGAAAAGGUUGAUAGGAACUGGUUGGAGCCAGAAGGUGGAGCUCCCCAAUGCUUCCUCCUUGUCCUGGAAAGAAGUGACGAGUGGAGUGCCAUCAGCAGGGCUCCGUCCUGGUUCUGGUUCUGUUCAACAUCUUCAUUAAUGACUUAGAUGAAGGAUUAGAAGGCAUGAUCAUCAAGUUUGCAGACAACACCAAAUUGGGAGAGAGAGCGAAUACUCCAGAAGACAGGAGCAGAAUUCAAAGCGAUCUUAACAGAUUAGAGAGAUGAUGGGCCAAAACUAAAAAAAAUGAGUUCAACAGGGACAAAAGCUAGAAUACAGGAUAGCAGUACUUGUGAAAAAGAUCUUGGAGUCCUCGUGGGGAAAAAGUUAAAUAUGAGCCAACAAUGCAAUGUGGUAGCUCAAAAAGCCAGCGGGAUUUUGUCCUGCAUCAAUAGGAGUCUGGUGUCUAGAUCCAGGGAAGUCAUGCUCCCCCUCUACUCUACCUUGGUCAGACCACACCUGGAAUCACACUGUGUCCCAUUCUGGGCGCUGCAGGUAAAGGGAGAUGUUGUCAAGCUGGAAAGCGUCCAGAGGAGGGCGACAAAAAUGAUCCAGGGUCUGGAGAACAAGCCCUAUGAGGAGCGGCUUAAAGAGCUGGGCAUGUUUAGUCUGCAGAAGAGAAGGCUGAGAGGAGACAUGAUGAGGGCCAUGUAUGAAGAUGUGAGGGGAAGUCAUAGGGAGGAGGGAGCAAGCUUGUUUUCUGCUGCCCUGGAAACUAGGACGUGAAACAAUGGCUUCAAACUACAGAAAAGGAAGGAGAUUCUACGUGAACAUGAGGAAGAACUUCCUAAUAGUGAGAGUUGUUCAGCAAUGAAACACUCUCUCUGCCUCGGAGUGCGGUGGAGGAUCCUUCUUGGGAGACUUUUAAACAGAGGCUAUUUGUCAGGGGUGCUUUGAAUGCGAUUUUCCUCCUUCUUGGCAGAAUGGGGUUGGACUGGAUGGCCCACGAGGUUUCUUCCAACUCUAGGAUUCUAUGAUCAAGUUCAGGGGUCCUCAAACUAAGGCCCGGGGGGCGGAUGCAGCCCUCCAAGGUCAUUCCAGGAUCACCCGCAAUAAGUGAAAAUCCGCAAAGUAGGUACGCUAUAUUUAUUUUAAUAUUUAUACAUUAUUUUAGUAGUUAUACACUAUUUUAAGUCUUUAUCAACCAAUCAUGUGUUGAUAAAUUGCCUCCUUCUCCCGUUGACGCUUGGGCUCCUUUUCUCUCCCUUCGGCUUCUUCCUCCCUUCCUUAGGCUGUAAAUUGUUAUUUUAUUAUGAUUUAUAAUAUUCUUUUAGAGUUUAUUGAUAAACCGCAAAAUGCGAACCGUGAAGUCGUGAGGGAACACUGUAUUACUACUAAUAACAUGGUAUUGUGGUAUAGUACAAUAUAGUGAUACAGUAGAGUCUCACUUAUGCAAGCCUUGCUUAUCCAAGCUUCUAGAUUAUCCAAGGCAUUUUUGUAGUCAAUGUUUUCAAUAUAUCGUGAUACUUUGGUGCUAAAUUCGUAAAUACAGUAAUUACUAUGUAGCAUUACUGCGUAUUGAACUACUUUUUCUGCCAAAUUUGUUGUAUAACAUGAUGUUUUGGUGUUUAAUUUGUAAAAUCAUAACCUAAUUUGAUGUUUAAUAGGCUUUUCCUUAAUCCCUCCUUAUUAUCCAACAUAUUCGCUUAUCCAACGUUCUGCCGGCCCGUUUAUGUUGGAUAAGUGAGACUCUACUGUAUUUGCAAAUUUAGCGCCAACUGGGAUAUAGGGCAGUGUGGACUCAGAUAACCCAGUUCAAAGCAGAUAUUGUGGGUUAUUCUGCUUUGAUAUUCUGGGUUAUACGGCUGUGUGGAAGAGCCCCGAGUGAGACUCUACUGCAUUGUGCUAUCCUAAUAAUAUAAUAUAUUAUAUGUGCAUACAACUUGUAAGCCGCUCUGAGUCCCCUUUGGGGUGAGAGAAGGUGGAGUAUAAAGGUAGCAAAUAAAUAAAUAAAUAAAUAUAUAAAUAAAUGAUUGUUGUUGGGGUUUUUUUUGCACUACAAAUAAGAUAUAUGCAGUGUGUAUAGGAAUUUGUUCAUUGUUGUUUUUUUUUCCUCAAAUGAUAAUUCGGCCCCUCAACAAUCUGAGGGACCAUGAACCGGCCCUCCACUUUAAAAGUUUGAGGAGCCCUGAUCAAGUUGGAAGAGACCCCAAGGGCCACCCAGUUAUAAAGGAAGGUACCCCCCAAACCCUCCCGACAGAUGGCCAUCCAGCCUCUGCUUGAUUCUCUCUGUUUGAGUCUCUCUGUCUGUGUGUCGGGGCCGUUCUUCCGGGGCGGGCUUGGCCUGUCCCGCGCUGACCCUCCUCCCCGGUCUCUCCCUCCUUCCUUCCUUCCUUCCGCCUCCGCCAUGGACCAGUCGGGCCCCGUCCAGGAGGCGCUGGCGCCGGGAGAGCCCUGCCUGGCC